UCAACAAGCAUUCUACAAUUGGAGAAAGCUACAACAUCAACUACAUAGCUCUUCGAAGGAGUGAUCAACAGAGUUCUUCUCGGAGAUCGACUUGAAACGACGAAGCGCUUUCCGACGUUCCCAGAGAUCAACAACAUCUCAAGGAGGUCUACAUCAUCCAACAAUUCGAGAAGUAUGCUACUGAAGACCCUCAAAUCUUGGAGAAGCUUAGG
rnacentral:lncRNA from 1 species